CGCUGCGUGGCUGAUGGGAAAGCGCCUGGUUCAUACCCGGGUUCCAUGCAGGUUCGAAUCCUGCCGCAGCGA
rnacentral:tRNA from 1 species